rnacentral:rRNA from 1 species
CCUACGGGUGGCAGCAGUGGGGAAUAUUGGACAAUGGGGGCAACCCUGAUCCAGCCAUGCCGCGUGUGUGAAGAAGGCCCUCGGGUUGUAAAGCACUUUCAGUGAGGAAGAACGCCUGGUGGUUAAUACCCAUCAGGAAAGACAUCACUCACAGAAGAAGCACCGGCUAACUCCGUGCCAGCAGCCGCGGUAAUACGGAGGGUGCGAGCGUUAAUCGGAAUUACUGGGCGUAAAGCGCGCGUAGGUGGCUUGAUAAGCCGGUUGUGAAAGCCCCGGGCUCAACCUGGGAACGGCAUCCGGAACUGUCAAGCUAGAGUGCAGGAGAGGAAGGUAGAAUUCCCGGGGUAGCGGUGAAAUGCGUAGAGAUCGGGAGGAAUACCAGUGGCGAAGGCGGCCUUCUGGACUGACACUGACACUGAGGUGCGAAAGCGUGGGUAGCAAACAGGAUUAGAUACCCGAGUAGUC